rnacentral:lncRNA from 1 species
UAACGUGUUCCGCCAGAUCGUUCCAUUGAAAAGUACAUCACUUACGUAGACGGCUUGUCACCACUGCCAAUCUGGGGCCUCCCGCGCGACCUUUCUGCCAUUGACGAAUCAAGAUUCGCUCGCAGAUACGCUAGAGCCAAGAGCUACGCCACAACGUCGUGGGUUUUGGUCAACUCGUUCGAAGAACUCGAGGGCAGUGCCACCUUCCAAGCCCUCCGAGACAUCUCUCCCAAAGCAAUCGCAGUGGGUCCUCUUUUCACCAUGGUCCCCGGCUCCAACAAGGCAAGCUUGUGGAAGGAAGACACCGAGAGUUUAUCCUGGCUCGGCAAGCAAAGUCCCGGCUCGGUUCUCUACAUUUCCUUGGGCAGCAUGGCGACUCUCAGCUUCGAUCAGUUCAAGGAGUUCUCCGAGGGACUGACGCUUCUCCAGCGUCCGUUUAUCUGGGCCAUCCGACCCAAGUCGGUCGCCGGCAUGGAGCCCGAGUUCCUGGAGCGUUUCAAGGAGGCCGUGAGGAGCUUUGGACUGGUUGUGAGCUGGGCUCCUCAGGUGGACAUCCUCCGCCACCCUUCCACGGCUGGAUUUCUCAGUCACUGCGGCUGGAACUCCAUCCUCGAGAGCGUAGCAUCCGCGGUGCCCAUGCUUUGCUGGCCGUGCGUCGCGGAGCAGAAUCUAAACUGCAAGUUGAUAGUGGAGGACUGGAAGAUCGGUCUCAAGUUCUCGUGCGUGACCAUGCUGGAUCCUCCCGAGGUGAUGGCGAGGGACGAGUUUGUGGAGGUGGUGGAGCGAUUCAUGGGAACUGACAGUGAGCAUUUGAGGAUUAACGUGAAGAAGCUGAGCGAGGAGGCUCGUAGAGCAGUGUCUAGUGGUGGCUCCUCGUAUGAAAACCUGGAGAGAUUUGCUCAAGCAGUGAAAAUUUCCUAAACUUCAAUCCACGGCUAAGAGAAAACUUCAAAGCAUCUACUCUACUCAAGAAUAUACUACUCUUUCUCUCUCUCUCUGAAGAUAAGCACGCGCUUUGCGCGUAUAAUGGGUUCCAAGAUCAAUGUUGUGGCGAUUCCUUUCCCCUCUCCACUCUUGCAUCUCUGCCAAGCUCUCACUUUCAUCCUUUGGGGGAUGCUAUCUCGAAAACACGCAACCACGAGGGAAUGUGUUAGACUUUGUCAUGUGCAAGAACCCAUGGCUAAUGUGUUAAUGUAGACUCCAAGGUGAUGCCUUAUGUCAGAAACUGCUGCGAGGAAAAGAAACUAAAGAAAAACAAAGAAAAAAUAAUAAGUGUAAAGUUCUGGAGUUAAAAAGGAAUCACAUGAGGAAACUUGAUAAAAGAAUUAAACACUAAAAAAUGAAAAAACAAAGUGAAAAAAGCUGAAGAGUAAGGAACAGCUUAUAGAAAUACUAACAAGAUUGGAAGAGCUCUAGAGGCCAGUUAUAAUGGCCAUUUGUCUCAAGUUGGUCCCUGGCAUAGAGCCCGAGUUCCUGGAGGCUUUCAAGGCUCUCCUUGAAAGUGAUCAGCUUUGGAUUGGUUGUGAGCUGGGCUCCUCAACUGGAAAUCCUCCAGCAUCUUUCCACAAGCUGCGAGAGUGUAUCUUCAGCAGUGCCAAUCCUUUGCUGGCCAUGAGUUGCCAAGCAGAAUCUCAACUGCAAGCUUAUAGUGGAAGACUGGAAGAUCGAUCUUAAGUUCUCGCCCAUGAGAUAUCCUCGCAAGGUGGUGGCAGGGACGAGUUUGUGGAGGUGGUGGAGCAACUCAUGGGAGCUGCGAGUGGCAAUUCCUUUAGAUGUAAUGUGAAGGAGCUCAGCGAGGCUGCUCAGGGAGCAACAGUGAAAGAAGGCAGGAUCUUCAUAUGAAAGUUUGGACAAGUUCGUCAAGUUUCAUAAGGUAAUUUAUAUCCAAUGCCGCAGCUGGUGGCAGGACGAUCAUCGGGCAUGAGGGCGGGGCCAAUGCACAGACAGACCAACCACCAAGAGCACAUAAAGAUGAUACUUGAAAGUGUAUAGGUUGGUGGAAGUGUUAUUUUCCUUCCCAAAGAAAUAGAUGGCGUAAUCAAGAGGAGUAAAACAUUCCUGAAGGAGAACACUAGAUUAAAACCUUUGCAAAACGCACUGAUUCUUAAGCUCAGCCUUGGAGCGAUUUCAAGCUUAUCCAGAAAAGGUAUUGUGAGAAACGGCAGCACCUUCCAGAGCACUCACGAAGUAAGCUUGAAUUUUCUUUGUUCUUCGUCAAUGGGUUCUUCUACUGGUGCCGAGGGGCUCGCUCCUCACGCAGCGGUUCUUCCCAUUCCAACGCUACGCCACAUCACUCCAUUCCUCCAUCUCUCCAGAGCUCUGGCCUCGCGAGGCUUCGUCAUAACUUUCAUCAACACGGAGGGCAACCACAGGGACUUGAAGGACAUCGUUUCACAGGAGGAGAGCUUUGGCUAUGGCGGCGGCAUUCGCUUCGAGACGGUCCCGGGCAUCCAAGCGAGCGACGUCGACUUCGCGGUCCCGGAGAAGCGGGGGAUGUUGUCCGAGGCAGUGAUGGAGAUGCAGGCUCCAGUGGAAAGCUUGCUCAUCAGGAACAUGGCCAGAGACGAUGAUCUCGUUCCUCCGGUCUCGUGCUUCAUCUCGGAUAUGUUCCCGUGGUCCGCGGAAGUAGCAAGAAGGACUGGAAUCCCAGAGGUCAAGUUCUGGAUCGCCAGUGCCUCUUGCGUUUUGCUCGAUUGCUCGUUUCCGCGAAUGCUGGAGAAGGGAGACGUUCCAGUCCAAGGUAAAGCUUCUUUCUUCUUUUUUAUUUGUCCUUCUUUCGAGAAGCACUAACGUGUUCCGCCAGAUCGUUCCAUUGAAAAGUACAUCACUUACGUAGACGGCUUGUCACCACUGCCAAUCUGGGGCCUCCCGCGCGACCUUUCUGCCAUUGACGAAUCAAGAUUCGCUGGCAGAUACGCUAGAGCCAAGAGCUUCGCCACAACGUCGUGGGUUUUGGUCAACUCGUUCGAAGAACUCGAGGGCAGUGCCACCUUCCAAGCCCUCCGAGACAUCUCUCCCAAAGCAAUCGCUGUGGGUCCUCUUUUCACCAUGGCCCCCGGCUGCAACAAGGCAAGCUUGUGGAAGGAAGACACCGAGAGUUUAUCCUGGCUCGGCAAGCAAAGUCCCGGCUCGGUUCUCUACAUUUCCUUGGGCACCAUCGCGACUCUCAGCUUCGAUCAGUUCAAGGAGUUCUCCGAGGGACUGAGGCUUCUCCAGCGUCCGUUUAUCUGGGCCAUCCGACCCAAGUCGGUCGCCGGCAUGGAGCCCGAGUUCCUGGAGCGUUUCAAGGAGGCCGUGAGGAGCUUUGGACUGGUUGUGAGCCGGGCUCCUCAGGUGGACAUCCUCCGCCACCCUUCCACGGCUGGAUUUCUCAGUCACUGCGGCUGGAACUCCAUCCUCGAGAGCGUAGCAUCCGCGGUGCCCAUGCUUUGCUGGCCGUGCGUCGCGGAGCAGAAUCUAAACUGCAAGUUGAUAGUGGAGGACUGGAAGAUCGGUCUCAAGUUCUCGUGCGUGACCAUGCCGGAUCCUCCCGAGGUGAUGGCGAGGGACGAGUUUGUGGAGGUGGUGGAGCGAUUCAUGGGAACUGACAGUGAGCAUUUGAGGAUUAACGUGAAGAAGCUGAGCGAGGAGGCUCGUAGAGCAGUGUCUAGUGGUGGCUCCUCAUAUGAAAACCUGGAGAGAUUUGCUCAAGCAGUGAAAAUUUCCUAAACUUCAAUCCAAAGCUAAGAGAAAACUUCAAAGCAUCUACUCUAUUCAAGAAUAUACUACAGUUCUUUCUCUCUCUCUCUGAAGAUAAGCACGCGCUUUGCGCGUAUAAUGGGUUCCAAGGUCAAUGUUGUCGCAAUUCCUCUCCCAGCUCAAGGCCACAUCUCUCCACUCUUGCAUCUCUGCCAAGCUCUCACUUUCAUCCUUUGGGGGAUGCUAUCUCCGAAACACACAACCAUGAGGGAAUGUGCUGGACUUUGUCACGUGCAAGAACCCAUGGCCAAUGUGCUAGUGUAGACUCCAAGGUGAUGCCUUAUGUCAGAAACUGAUGCAAAAAGAAGAAACUAAAGAAAAACAAAAAAAAUAAUAAUAAGAAGAAAGAGAGUGUAAAGUUCUGGAGUCAAAAGGGAACCAUAUGAGGAAAUUUGAUAAAAGAACUAAACACUAAAAAAUGGAAAAACAAAAAGUGAAAAAAACUAAAGAGCAAGGAACAGCUUAAAGAAGAGCUCUAGAGGCCAGUUAUAAUGGCCAUUUGUCUCAAGUUGGUCCCUGGCAUAGAGCCUGAGUUCCUGGAGGCUUUCAAGGCUCUCCUUGAAAGUGAUCAGCUUUGGACUGGUUGUGAGCUGGGCUCCUCAACCGGAAAUCCUCCAGCAUCCUUCCACAGGCUGCGAGAGUGUAUCUUCAGCAGUGCCAAUCCUUUGCUGGUCAUGAGUUGCCGAGCAGAAUCUCAACUGCAAGCUUAUAGUGGAAAACUGGAAGAUCGAUCUUAAGUUCUCACCCAUGAGAGAUCCUUGCAAGGUGGUGGCAGGGAUGAGUUUGUGGAGGUGGUGGAGCAACUCAUGGGAGCUGAGAGUGGCGAUUCCUUUAGAUGUAAUGUGAAGGAGCUCAGCGAGGCUGCUCAGGGAGCAACAGUGAAAGAAGUCAAGAUCUUCAUAUGAAAGUUUGGACAAGUUUGUCAAGUUUCAUAAGGUAAUUUAUAUCCAAUGCCGCAGCUGGUGGCAGGACGAUCAUCGGGCAUGAGGGCGGGGCCAAUGCACAGACAGACCAACCACCAAGAGCACAUAAAGAUGAUACUUGAAAGUGUAUAGGUUGGUGGAAGUGUUAUUUUCCUUCCCAAAGAAAUAGAUGGCGUAAUCAAGAGGAGUAAAACAUUCCUGAAGGAGAACACUAGAUUAAAACCUUUGCAAAACGCACUGAUUCUUAAGCUCAGCCUUGGAGCGAUUUCAAGCUUAUCCAGAAAAGGUAUUGUGAGAAACGGCAGCACCUUCCAGAGCACUCACGAAGUAAGCUUGAAUUUUCUUUGUUCUUCGUCAAUGGGUUCUUCUACUGGUGCCGAGGGGCUCGCUCCUCACGCAGCGGUUCUUCCCAUUCCAACGCUACGCCACAUCACUCCAUUCCUCCAUCUCUCCAGAGCUCUGGCCUCGCGAGGCUUCGUCAUAACUUUCAUCAACACGGAGGGCAACCACAGGGACCUGAAGGACAUCGUUUCACAGGAGGAGAGCUUUGGCUAUGGCGGCGGCAUUCGCUUCGAGACGGUCCCGGGCAUCCAAGCGAGCGACGUCGACUUCGCGGUCCCGGAGAAGCGGGGGAUGUUCUCCGAGGCAGUGAUGGAGAUGCAGGCUCCAGUGGAAAGCUUGCUCAUCAGGAACAUGGCCAGAGACGAUGAUCUCGUUCCUCCGGUCUCGUGCUUCAUCUCGGAUAUGUUCCCGUGGUCCGCGGAAGUAGCAAGAAGGACUGGAAUCCCAGAGGUCAAGUUCUGGAUCGCCAGUGCCUCUUGCGUUUUGCUCGAUUGCUCGUUUCCGCGAAUGCUGGAGAAGGGAGACGUUCCAGUCCAAGGUAAAGCUUCUUUCUUCUUUUUUAUUUGUCCUUCUUUCGAGAAGCACUAACGUGUUCCGCCAGAUCGUUCCAUUGAAAAGUACAUCACUUACGUAGACGGCUUGUCACCACUGCCAAUCUGGGGCCUCCCGCGCGACCUUUCUGCCAUUGACGAAUCAAGAUUCGCUGGCAGAUACGCUAGAGCCAAGAGCUUCGCCACAACGUCGUGGGUUUUGGUCAACUCGUUCGAAGAACUCGAGGGCAGUGCCACCUUCCAAGCCCUCCGAGACAUCUCUCCCAAAGCAAUCGCUGUGGGUCCUCUUUUCACCAUGGCCCCCGGCUGCAACAAGGCAAGCUUGUGGAAGGAAGACACCGAGAGUUUAUCCUGGCUCGG